AGCGAACGCUGGCGGCAGGCCUAACACAUGCAAGUCGAACGAAGUCCUCGGACUUAGUGGCGGACGGGUGAGUAACACGUGGGAACGUACCUUUUGGUUCGGAACAACUCAGGGAAACUUGAGCUAAUACCGGAUGAGCCCUUCGGGGGAAAGAUUUAUCGCCGAAAGAGCGGCCCGCGUUAGAUUAGCUAGUUGGUGAGGUAAAGGCUCACCAAGGCCACGAUCUAUAGCUGGUCUGAGAGGAUGAUCAGCCACACUGGGACUGAGACACGGCCCAGACUCCUACGGGAGGCAGCAGUGGGGAAUCUUGCGCAAUGGGCGAAAGCCUGACGCAGCCAUGCCGCGUGAAUGAUGAAGGUCUUAGGAUUGUAAAAUUCUUUUACCAGGGACGAUAAUGACGGUACCUGGAGAAAAAGCCCCGGCUAACUUCGUGCCAGCCGCCGCAGUAACAC
rnacentral:rRNA from 1 species